GACAUCCCGGAGACCCUUAGGAACUAGGGGUGCUUCCAUCUGGAAGAAUCUGGAGACAGGUGCUGCAUGGCUGUCGUCAGCUCGUGUCGUGAGAUGUUGGGUUAAGUCCCGCAACGAGCGCAACCCUUGCCUUUAGUUGCCAGCAGUUCGGCUGGGCACUCUAAAGGGACUGCCGGUGUUAAACCGGAGGAAGGUGGGGAUGACGUCAAGUCCUCAUGGCCUUUAUGACCAGGGCUACACACGUACUACAAUGGCCGAUACAAAGGGCAGCGACACUGCGAGGUGAAGCCAAUCCCGUAAAAUCGGUCUCAGUCCGGAUUGGAGUCUGCAACUCGACUCCAUGAAGUUGGAAUCGCUAGUAAUCGUGGAUCAGCAUGCCACGGUGAAUACGUUCCCGGGCCUU
rnacentral:rRNA from 1 species